GAUGAACGCUGGCGGCGUGCCUAAUACAUGCAAGUCGAGCGAACAGACGAGGAGCUUGCUCCUUCGACGUUAGCGGCGGACGGGUGAGUAACACGUAGGUAACCUACCUAUAAGACUGGGAUAACUUCGGGAAACCGGAGCUAAUACCGGAUAAUAUUUCUAACCGCAUGGUUCAAUAGUGAAAGAUGGCUUUGCUAUCACUUAUAGAUGGACCUGCGCCGUAUUAGCUAGUUGGUAAGGUAACGGCUUACCAAGGCAACGAUACGUAGCCGACCUGAGAGGGUGAUCGGCCACACUGGAACUGAGACACGGUCCAGACUCCUACGGGAGGCAGCAGUAGGGAAUCUUCCGCAAUGGGCGAAAGCCUGACGGAGAAACGCCGCGUGAGUGAUGAAGGUCUUCGGAUCGUAAAACUCUGUUAUUAGGGAAGAACAAAAGUGUAAGUAACUGUGCACGUCUUGACGGUACCUAAUCAGAAAGCCACGGCUAACUACGUG
rnacentral:rRNA from 1 species